rnacentral:lncRNA from 1 species
AUCUAGUGCAACUCGUACAUGUGUCGGUAAGUGAAUGCAGUAAAAUUACCGAGUUGGUGGUAGCAAGUGAGGGAGAUGCAGCAAAAGACGAGAUUAUCUUCCCCAAACUGGAGUACUUGAAUCUUCAUCGUCUACAAAGUCUCAUAACCUUCUGCUCUGCAAACUACACUUUUAAAUUCCUGUCUUUAUGGCGGUUAUCAGUGUCUGCUUGCCCCAAGAUGAAGAUUUUCUGCGGAGGAGUCUUUAGCGCACCAAGAUUAAAAGAAGUGUGGCUAAAUGGUCAAAAUUGUUGCGACGGUGACCUCAAUAAACCCAAACAACUGUCGUAUUACAAAACGGUGCGUAUUCAUCAUAUUUGAGCGGACUACUUGAUUUAAAUUUUAUGAUUCAAUUUAAAUCAUUUUUUUAUCAAAAUUGAAAUUACAUAUAUAAUUGCAUAUUGUUAUAAUUAGAUAAUAUAAUAAAAAAUAGUACAAAAUUAUUUAUAUAUCGUAAAAAAAAUUUCAAAAAAAGUUACAUUGUGCAAUUAAAUAGUUAAAAGACACUACUAAUUUUAAUUAAUUAUUAAUCCGAUUUUCUUGUUUUAACAGUAUAAAUAUUAUAUUUCAUUUGUUUGCACGUUAAACUACAAUACAAUUUUAAAUUUACCAAUACAAUUUUUUAUUAUUGCAAUAAAGAUAAAAUAUUUUGAAUUAAUAUCUAAACAUUUAGUACAAUCCUAUAUAAUAUUAUAAUGUGAGUAGGCUUCUCAAAUCUUACCUAGCAAACUAGAAAGCCACUGCUAUAGAACCUCUAAAAAUGUAGAUGCAUAUGAUGAAUGAGUUCAUAAGAUUUUUUAAACUAGUACCUCUAUACAAUUCGACUAUGUUUGACACGCAAGAUUAUAUUGGACUAAGUAUUAGGAUUAGACUAAAUUAAAUUGGAUUAUAUCUAACUUAUGUAUAGUACACUAACAAACUUGAUUAUAUUAAAUUAAAUUUAAAUGGUAUUUACGUUAAUAUUUGAAUUUAAAUAUAAACUAUAUAUAGAUAUUUAAUAAGAAAUAUUAUAAUUAAUUAAAAUAAUAAUAAUAUUAUUAUUAUAUUUAUAUAUAUUAUUCAAUUAGUUAUGUGAUAGUCACAAUUAGAAUGAAGAAAUAUAAAUUAUUUAAAUUAUAGGUUGUUUCAUAUGAGAUAUAUCAUUUCAUUAAAUAAAACAAUUCAAAUAAUAAAUUAAUUAAUAAUUUUUAAGUAAAUCAUGAAUAACGAAAAAUAAAUUACUUAAUUACUAACAAUAAAUAAAUAAAUAAAUUUUAAGUUAUAAAUAAAAAUAAUGUAAUGAAUUACAGAAGACAUCAUAAAUAGAUUUUUUUUUUCUCACUGCCUAAUCCUAUUUAAACUCACAUGAAAAUUGAGAUUACUAAUCCCAUGAAUUUAGGAUACAAAUUUGAAUUUAAUCCACUAGUCCAAUGCAAGUGACAAACAUAGGAUUAAUAGUUUAUCCCAAAACUUUAUUCCAAUCCUAUACUUAGAUGGCAUUUGUUUUUUGGUCUGAAAUAUGAAUAGAGCUUAAUGUUUGAAUCUGAAUCAUACGUUUGUUUUUCUAUCUGAAUAGCUAAAAAUAAAUAUUAAGUUGUUUUUUAACUUUAAAAAAUCUGAAAACUAUUGUUUUUACAUUUAUGUCCUUACAAAUUAUAAAUGUUAAACAAAAAAUAAACAUCUCAAGAAAUAUAAAUAAGAUAAUAAAUAGUAAUAACAUAAAUCAUAUUUAAUUUGAUACAACUCUUUAAUAUUCUAUAUUAUUUAUGUUAAUCAAUUUUAUUAUAGUUUAUGAUGUUUUUAAUGAAAAAUAUUCAUAAAAAAUUAUGAAGAUAAAUAAUGCUAAUUUUUGAAGAAAAUAAAUAGAUAACAAUAAUAAUAGUCUACCAUUGUAUAUUAUCACAAGUCAUAUAGAGAGAGAGUAAUAAUGCUAAUUAUUAAAUUUUAUUUAAGUAAGGAUAAAAAUUAAUUAAUUAAAUAAUGAUAUUUUAGAGAAUAUCUUUAAAUGAUAUCGUUCAAACUUUUUAGAUUAAGUAAAAAGUUAAAAAAAUUAGUUUAAUAACUUAAUGAUUUAAUGGCUGAAAGUUUUUAUUAAGUUGAAAAAAACAAACAGACUUGACAACUUAACUGAUUAAAAUUAAAUCAAUUAAGUCAUCAAGUCAAAAAAACAAACAACCUCUUAAUCUCAACUCCCAAACAUAACCUCCAGGAGUAACUAGGGUAAUCAAAUUAGCUGCCCUAAGACCCUCAUUUGGAUUCAACUGACUACAAAGAUUCAAGAUAGUUGGCAAAUAAAAUAAUCAACUCAAUUUUCGCAGAAGCUAGUUUAAGCAAUUUAUAUCAGAAGUGAACUAAUUGACAUGUCUUUGGGGAACAUCCUUUCACCUUAAAUUAAAAAUGUUGCUCUUUUUUUUUUUUUUUUUUUUUCAGAAUGCUCAGAGUUCCACAGACGAUUCAGGUCAAUCUUCAAUGCACCAUCAGGAAUAAACACCUUUUCUCUAUAAUGUUUAUUAGUCACGAGUUUUUUCAUUGAUGAUCAUUUUCUUGUAUUGGAAUCAGGUGCGAACAAGCCCUUCUGUUUCUAUCUUCAUUGUUCUGCUUUGGCUCUCUUCAACUUUUGUGUUGCUCUUUUGAAAGUGCUAUUAUAAAACUUACAUUCCAUGUAAUCGAUUGAGAUUCAAUGGUUGAAUGGUCCUCAAUAGUUUCCUGGUUGCUGUAUUCUGUGAGAUUCUCAGGCACCCAAAAGACAAAUUAAGUACCAAAAUUAAGGAUAUAUAUUUGAACUCUACCUUUGCGUGCAACUUGUAUAUAUUGUGUUCUAUGAGCAGGAACCCACAUAAAUGGUUCCUCAUUAACAUGGAUUGCCGUUGCUUGUGGUUCAAGCAACCUUGUUUACUAGUUGAUUCCUUGUCUUCUUAAUCAGAAAUCAUGGGAUACACUGGUUGUAAUUCUAGUCAUGCAGUAAAAUAUAAGUAAUGGCAAAUCGCAUUGAGCAGGAGAUUCAUAGCCAUAAAGCUUUGGAUUGUUAUUCGCAGAUAUGGCUUGGCUAACCUUAUGGAUCACACUUGUAGCAAGUGUCAAAGCGUUCAUGUAUAGUGUCAAAGACUUCUUACCAUGACGAAGGCCGUUAUGUUUUCCCUUGUCAACUAUAUUUUUUCUGAGCUUUCAUCUUCUGAAAACUGUUAGUAGAAUGUCAAGUAAAUCAUUUGGUGCAUCAAACUUUAACACCGUUGAAAAAUGUUGAAGUCUCAAGAGUAUUUGAGCAAUUUCAAGCUAAAGUUAUUUUCUUGGUUCUUUUACAGAUUUUUAUCUUUUUCUCUGAACAUCUGAUUUACAAGCUUUUUUUUUUCCUUUAUUUCAGUUAUUAUAUUAAAUUGGUAACAGUUGAAAUAUUAGGUGGAAAAAUGGUUGUCAAAAAACUUUGGUGAUCUAACAUUUAGUCUAUUUACUUAUUUGGUUUUAAUUUAUUUAAUGUUAAAAUUACAUACAUAUAAUGCACAAGACAUUAGUAGGAAUCCGGUCCAAUCUUAGCACCACAACAGAACGUGUCCUUAAGUCUCAUUAGAAAAGUUAGUCUGAGAAAUUUAGAGCAGAAAUGAACUAAGUAACACAUCUUUAGAGUUUGUACAUUCACCAUUAAUAUGAUGCUCUUCAUGAUUACAGAAUGUUCAAACUUUCGAAGAAGAUUCAGGUCAACCUUCAAUUCAGAAUCCGGAAUAAGGCCAUUUCUCUAUGACAGUUUAUGAGUUUAUCAUUGAAGAAUCUUCACUUUCUGUGUUGCUCUUCUGGAAGUGUCAUUACAUUUCCUUCAUGUAAUAGUUUGAGAUUCAAUGGUCGAAAGGCCAUUAAUUAGCAUUAAUAAUUUUCUGGUUGCAGCAGUACGCUGUAUCCUGUGGCAAUCAGCAUGUGUGUGCAAUUUGUAUUUUCUUGUGAUUGAAUUUCUGGAGUUCUAUUCUUUUAGAAUUGAUAAAUUCAAAGGGGAUGCUGGUCUAGUGGUCUUGGUGCUAUUGUUAGAAAUACCAGUGGGGACAUUAUGCUUGCAGCAGUAAAGACCUAUAAAUUUUUGGGAUAACGAAUUCUCAGAGGCAGAGGCUCUUAGUUUUGGAUUUUGGGACUUAAGUAAGCUCGAAUCUGAUGCUAAGACUUUUGUGAACGGAAAUGAUCCAAGUCAGAAGGAAAAUCUUCAGAAGGAAUUCUUAGGAGUAAUCGUUAUCUUGCUUUCAAAUUUAUCUCGAGGAGCUAUAAUGAAACCACUCAUAGGCAUGAACUUUACAAUGAACAUUGUAAAGCAUCCUCCAUAUAUGGAAAUGGAAAGGAACCCAUCUGUAUAUAUGUCAUACUUCUACGUAUCAUAGAUUUUUAUCUUAAUUCAAAUCUGAAUUUUGUCAAAUUCAGACGUAUGGACGUAUAUAUAUUCAAAGUAACCCAUCUGUAUUUUUGAAGAUUUAUAUUAAAACGCAUAGAUACAUUUUAAUUAACAGUUACAUAGAUAUACAUUUUAAUUAACACUUUAAUGGAUCAAGGCAUGACCGCCUUCUGAAAAGUGAACGAGUUAAUUUCUAUGCAAAUUUUACCUUUAAGCCAUUUGUGAACCAUUAUGUUUUCCACGGAGUUAUCAAAAAAUCAUCGUUUUUCUAAUAAAAUGUUUUCUCUUUUCCUUCAAAAAAAGAAAAAAAAAGAAAAAAAGAAAAAAAGAAAAGAAACACAAAACUUAAAGCAGCAUCCUGAUUUGGCUCUUUCACUAAAAUGUUGAAUUCCCAAGACAAUGUUGAAGUUAACAGCACCUGCCAGACUCUACUUAACAAACACAAAAGCAACAAAACUAAAACCAGAACAUUUUUCUUUUGUUUCCCCACAAACUCGUCCUCAAUUCACAACACAACAACAACACAAUCAGCAACACUUGCAACAACAAAAACAAAAACACUUGAUGCAUAUCCUACAAAACAGCCAAACACCAAACAACAUUACCACUCAAAUCCACUCUCACUUACUCACCACUAACUCACUGCUACACCACUCACAACUCUUCAACACUCUUCUUCACUUCUACUCGCUCGCUGACUCACCUCAAAAAGCUUUCUUGCUCUACAAACAACUUCAACAAAUUUACACACACUCUCACUCUCCAUUGCCGCCUCUCUUUGACAGCUUCACUUACUCUUUCCUUAUCAGAACCUGCGCUACUUUAAGCCAUCCUAACUUGGGUACCCAGCUUCAUGCUGUUAUUUCCAAAGUGGGUUUUCAAUCUCAUGUUUAUGUGAACACUGCUUUGGUUAAUAUGUAUGUUUCGUUAGGGUUUUUGAAGGACAGUUCUAAAUUUCUUUAGGGAUUUUGAAGGACAGUUCUAAACUGUUCGAUGAAUUGCCGGAGAGAAGUUUGGUUUCGUGGAAUGUUAUGAUCACUGGUUUAGUGAAAUGGGGUGAGCUAGAAUUUGUGCGUUCUCUCUUUGAAGAGAUGCCUUGCAGGAAUGUUGUGUCGUGGACAGGGAUUAUUGAUGGUUACACCAGGAUGAAUCGGUCUAAUGAGGCGUUAGCUUUAUUUCGAAAAAUGGUUGCGUGCGAAUAUACAGAACCCAGUGAGAUAACUAUUUUGGCUGUUUUACCGGCUAUUUGGCAAAAUGGGGAUGUUAAGAGUUGUCAAUUGAUUCAUGGGUAUGGUGAGAAAAGAGGGUUUAACGCGUUUGAUAUACGUGUCUUAAAUUGUUUGAUUGAUACUUAUGCAAAAUGUGGCUGCAUAUUUAGUGCCUCAAAACUCUUUGAGGAUAUAUCAGUUGAGAGGAAAAAUUUGGUGUCUUGGACAUCGAUAAUAUCUGGGUUUGCAAUGCAUGGGAUGGGGAAAGAAGCAGUAGAAAAUUUUGAGAGGAUGCAGAAAGUUGGUUUGAAACCAAACAGAGUAACAUUCUUGAGUGUUUUGAAUGCUUGUAGUCAUGGAGGAUUGGUCGAGGAGGGGCUGAAGUUUUUUGAUAAGAUGGUUGAGGAGUGUGACGUUUUGCCAGAUAUAAAGCAUUAUGGGUGUUUAGUAGACAUGUUGGGAAGGGCUGGGAGGUUAGAACAAGCGGAGAAGGUUGCUUUGGGGAUACCGAGUGAGAUUACUAAUGUUGUUGUUUGGAGGACCCUUUUGGGUGCUUGUAGCUUUCACGGUAAUGUGGAGAUGGGUGAGAGGGUGACAAGGAAGAUAUUGGAAAUGGAGAGAGGAUAUGGAGGGGACUAUGUGCUUAUGUAUAACAUCUUUGCUGGGGUUGGGAGGUAUGGAGAUGCUGAGAGAUUGAGGAGAGUCAUGGAUGAGAGGAAUGCCCUCAAAGUUCCUGGCCGUAGUUUGGUGUAGCUAAUUGUGAACAUGAAUGGUAGCGAUCUGGAUGGAUGGUCCCUUAUUCCUUUACUUAUAUAAAGUUUUUAAAACAAUUUAUCACUGAGCCGAGAUUGGUUUCCUUUUCAAGGCCGACAUCGGCAAGGCACCUGAGAUGUUGCCAUUACCAAAGUUCUUUCAGCUUGUGAAAAGCACCCUCUUUUUUAACUUCAUUGAAGAAGGUAGGCAAUUCCUGUUCUGUACAUUUAGUUUUUGUUUCCUGUUUAACAUUCGGAAGAUUGAUUUUGUUGGUUUUAUUAGUAUUCACAUUCAAACAGCAAAAGAGAGUUGAUCUUUUUGUUUUCUUUACUCAAUUUUAUGAUUCUGAUAUAGUUACAAAGUUUUUUGUUCUCUAUAUUGUUCAGAUGGAUUGAUUUUCGGUAAAAUUAAUAAACUGUUCUUAUUUUUUCUUUGGCUUUUGCUCUUUUAGCUUUGUUGAAAAAGCAAAGUGAAAUGAUUCAUGAGCUAGCUCUUCAUUUUGCCCCUGAGCUAGGGUUUCAGAAAUCAAAAGCCAAUACAUAUUUAUUUGCUUUUUAUCAUUGUUUAUCUUCUUUUAUUUUAGUGUUUUGGUAUGUUUGAUUUUCUAUGUGAUAAUCAAUAGCUUACUAAUUACCACCGGGAAUUUAGGUCCCUGUAGUGGUGGCGUUUCAAAGUUCAAAGCAUUUUACGUAUUUCAAUUUCACUUGUUUUUCAUGCUUUAUCAUUCAACUAGAUAAAUUUACAGAUAGAAUUUUCAAACUGCGAAGAACAGCUAAUUCAUUCCUUUUUGGUUCAUUUCUGGCGGAUAAAGUACUUUUCCAGGUUUCAAAGAUGUAUAAUGAAAAAAAAUCUUUUACCAGCUAUGUCGACCUUAAAAUAUAGGCCAUUAAAGAUCUCGAAGCUGUCCUGACACUUAUUUUGAAAUGACAAGCUCAGAAAACACCAUGGACCAAAACCUCAAACCUAUUCCUAGAAGCUGAGAAUGUGAAGAAAUGGAGAAAUCUGCGAGAGUUUAGGCAGCUUCUGAGAAACCAAUGACUGAAAAAUAUUUCGCUGCACUCAGGACGGCCAGGACUAUUAGGUCUCAGCUGAAGAAAGAGGCCGCACCAAUGCAGCAAAUAAGCACCUCACUCUCUCAGGCUGCAGAGAAGGAACCUCAAUUUACAGGACUCCCUUUUGUGUUACUAAUGGCUUAAUUCAAUGUGACUGGAGAGAUCUCAAAUGAGGAUACAAUUGAGAAAACCAUCUCUUAUGGUGGAGAUUCCGGAUAGGCGUAACACCGACAUAGAGAUUAAGAAAAGCUUGUUGGAGCUGUAUCAAAUUUUCUUUGACAUGACUGUAAUGGUGGAGGUCAAGACUUUGAAGCACAAACAGAGAAGCAGCAGGAACUAUAUUGCUUGGGGACCAUACUUCUGGUGUUGAUCAUUCUUUUGGUUGUUAGCAGCUUUUGAAUUGUGAGCUUUGUAUCGGAAAUGAUGCCCAAUCAUCCUUCUGGUAUUAGCACUGGGUUGUGACUAUUCUCCGUUCUUUUAUGCUUUUCUCCAAUGCAUUUGAAACACAUUGUCUUGAUUAGAUAGAGUCCAAGGAUGAAAAUCUUCUGGGAACCAUAUUGAAUGAGUAAUAAAUUUAGCAUUUUUCCAAAGAGAUUUUGACACAUGGCAUUUAAGAAAUUCUAAGGUCAGAAUUUAAUUUAUUUACAAUUUUUUUUAUUUGACACUAAAAAUAUGAUGUUUUUAAAACUCAUAAAAGUUGCCAACUAAUAGAAAUUAAUUUCAUGUCAGUAUCUUCUUUCUCCUCUUUCUUUCAUGCAAUAAUCUUAAAAAAGAAUAACAAAAAAGGUUUUAGAAAAAACUAGGGUAAUUUUUAUCUGUCUUUAGUGAAUUUUUUUUUCUUUUUACAAUCAUCUUGGUAUCUUAAAUAAAUUAGAGUUAAAUAAAAUUUUAAAUUAUCUCUCUCCUCUUUUCUUAUAAAUGAACUUUGACAAUUAGAAAACUAGAUCAAAGUAUGCAAAGUUUUCAAUUAAAAAUGGUUAGAUCUGUUUCUUUGAUAUUAAAGGUACGGAGACCGAACAAAGAAUGGAAAAGGGAGAAGCAGUUUAAUUUUUUUUUAUAAAAAAAACAAGAAUAAUAAUCUAAUGUUGGCAUUAGAUAAUUUAAAAAAUGGCCAUUCUUCAAAUGUUGGCAUGUCGGUAAAUUCAUUGUUGUGGUUUUUCACUCAAUUUAAUUUCCAUAUGCCUGAAGAAGAAGUGCAAUUUUUAUGCAAGUUUGAGAAGCGAUAAACUAAGAAGCUGAAAAAGAAGUUUAAACUUAUGUUAGUGUAAAAUUUCAAUUAACCUAAAAAUGUUAGAUUUUGGUGUUUAAAUAGGAAAAUUGUAAACAAUUUAAUCUUAACCUUACGAUUUUUUAAAUGCUACGUGUUCAAAUCUAAGUUUGAAAAAAUGAUACACGUACAAAAUUAGAGAUAUGAAUUAGUUGUUUUUAAAUUUUCUAGUCUUUUAUCACUUUUGUCUCUAUUUUUGCCCUCCAUGUUUUACAUGUACAAAUCAUUCAUUAAUCCCAAGUUUAUACGUUCAAAUUCUUGUAUGGUCUAAUUGUUAUUACUUUUCAGUACUAAUUUUCCAUUUUGCAAAAACAGAUGAUAAAAGAAACGUGUUGGUAGUCGUCGCCAUUAUACAAAUGGUGUCCACUUUACAUCUCACCGUCCAUGAGACCCACCGAUAAUUUGACAACACUGAUUAUGCUUUUAACUCAUUAAUUCUUGUUCUUGUUGAAGCGUUUAGUAACUUAUAUGAUGAUUUGAUCAUAUCCCUAACAUUAACAUACCCCCAUAAUCCAUUAAUAAAAUUUAUUUAUUUCAUAAUUAUAUGAUGAUGAACGGUUUUUCAUUUUUCUGCGAAACAUAAGAACAAUUUGUAAAUAAUGUCCAGACCUUGUAAUAGCGAAGAAUCAUUUAUGGACAGAAUAGGUGAAAUAACAAAACAGCAUAAAUCAAGUCAUUAUUGAUCUUACUUUGAUGAUCGCACUUUAGUUUCUUUUUAAAGUGCCUUUUGUUUAUUUUAUCGGCAUCCGCUUUUACAAAAGUUUUGGUCCUCGUUCAUUCAUCAAAGCUUCUACUUUUAUCUUUUAUUAGGCAUCUUACAAAGCUUAAUUUAAUGGGAAUCAUGCUCAGCUCGAAGAUUGUUUUACUUACUUCAGCCAUCUUUCAAUCAACCGAAUUUAUUCUUUUCUGAUCUGGCAAUUAUUCAUGAAAAAAAUACGUGCGUACUAAUUUCGUCAUCAUCAUGGAGCCAUGGGAAAUCAAAUACUCCUAAACCCAAAUACUUAUCUGAUGCUGAUGAUGAUGAAAUGUGGCUACUCUGAUCAGCCUCCACCUCCACGUGCCCUGAUCUCUCCUCCUUCUUUGCAGCACUACGCUUCACAAACUUUUCUUUCUUUUCUUCUCCUCCUCCUCCUUCUUCUUCUCUUCCUCUCUUCUUGUUUUCCCAUUCCAUUUCGCAAUCACAAAGCCUUCUGCAAACACGCACAUCAUGUGUUAUAUAUAAUAGCCGGCUAGCUCGUUCAUUCGUACGUGCAUCAUGCAUGUGUCACCUCACCUUAUCAGGAAAUCGCAUAUUAACCUUGAAACUGGAAACAAAUUUACAACCCCCUGCUGCCGCAUCCGGCCAUCCCAUGCAUGCAUGAUGCAUUGCAUUGCAUUCAAGAAUAAUUAGACAGGAAAUGGAUUUCCAAAAUAUCAAUAAAUAAAUAAAAAGAUAGCAGUUCGGUAAUGAAUUGAAAUCAAUUGAACAUAUUUAUUAUUUUUCUUUUUACCAAAAGAACGAACGCAAGACAUGUAUGUAUGUACGUAAUUAAUACCUUUUGAGUUGUGAUGCUCGAUCUUAUUAAUCUUCUUAUGUUUCUGAGAGAAGACAGAAGGAAUACAGAAAUGAUUUAAUUAACCAAUAAAAAUGUGGGCCCACAAUAAAUUUAAAAAAAGCACUUGAACAGAGUUAUGCUUUUUUUGUUUUUUUCCUUGGACAAGGUCACAAGGGUUUUAACUUUUAACGAGGAUCUAAAACGACAGAGCACUCUCUUCAAAUCAUGAGGUUGUUUUGAUAUCUAUCUUCAUGAUUUCGAGAUUAGGUGGGGAUUUCGUUUUUUUAUUUUAUUAAUAUUUUAAUAUAACUGUAGGGCCAGUCAAUGAAAAAAAAAAUGAUAAGUCAAUGAAAACGGCAAGAAGUGGCUGCCGUUUCUAUCUUCAUUUUAUCGUUUGGGUGUUCAACUAUCAUUUUCCUUAGUAUAUAGCACUGAGUCUUUACAUUUUUCUAUAAUAUUCAAUAAUUUGUUGCAAUAUUAUUUUAUUUUUAAAUAUAUUUUAUUUAAAUUUAUUAUAAAUUAAAUUAAUUAUGUAAAUAAAAAUAAAAAUAAAAUAGUAAAAAUAACAUAUUUUAUAUUAAUAAUAAAAUAUUUUUAUUGUUUUUAUAAACUUUUUUUUCUUGAUAAAUGUUUAUUUUAUAUUCCUAAUGUCUAAUAUCACAUAAAUGACUCAUUUAUUCUUUUUUUCUUUUAAAAUUUUUAUAUUGGUGGAGUUAUUGGAUAUUAUAAAAAUAAUAAAAAAGUAAGUAGUGUAUAUUUAUUUGAGUAAGGAGAAACUAUCUUCAUUUUAUGUACAAAUAAUAUAAUAUAUAAAAUUAUUACUGGGGGCUCCAUUUUGUAAUUAAAAUUAUAUAAAUACAAUUGUUUCUCUCCUGUACAUUAUCUUUUAUAUUUUGACCUUUUUAUUUUCAGAUACUCCUUUAAAAAUAAAACUAUUAAACAUAUUUCUAAAUUUACCAGAAAUUAAUUACUUCUUUACAAUAAAACAAACACCAAAAAACACCAUUUUGAAAAACAAUAAAAAAAAAAAAAGCAUCCGAAAUUUUUGAGUGAAUCUUGACGUUGACUUGAGUCGUCUCCUAGACUAUUGGAUGAAACAUGAUGUAUGAUUGACUGAUCUGCAUCUCUUCAUCAUCUCAAGUUCUCUGAAGCCAUCAUCUCAGGUUACCUCUGUCUUGUUUUCAGCUUUUUCAUCUCAAGAGCACCUUAGUAGUCCAUCCUGUGAGUCGUAGCUGUUGUUUGAAAUUUGGUUUCUGCACAUCCUUAAUUUCUUCCUCCCAAAUCACAUCUCAUUUUUCCAUCUGAUUCUAUCCACCCUUUUCCUUGUGAUCACUGGUGUUUUGUUGUUCAUCUUUUUGUACCUUUUUUCCCUCUCUCAUUUCUCUGUACUGUAUCCCCAUACUUUUGUAGUUUCCCUCUGAUUUUCUCCACUCUUUUUUUUUUCAUAUUAGAUAAAACAGCCACACUUAUUUUCAACGUUUGAUCUCACGACCACUCUGCUUUUGUUCCCGCUUGUUGUUGUGACCUGGUGUUCUGUUCUGUAGAUUUGCUACUCAGUUUUAUUUCCCUUUGGUUUCCUUCGCAUCUGUUUCUCAAAACUUUAAAACAAAAAAGAAAAAAGGUUGAAAAUGGUUGAUGCUGUUGUUACCGUUGCUUUAGAAGUUGCCAAGUGCUUGUUCCCUCCGAUCGUGUGCCAGUUAAGUCAUGUACGUAAGUACAAAGCCAACCUUGAGAAUCUCAAGAAAGAAACUAAGAAGUUGACCGAUACAAGAGAUAGCAUGCGGAAAAAGGUUGAUGAUGCUAAAAGGAACGGGGAAGAGAUUGACCAAAGAGUUGAGAGUUGGCUGAUUAGUGUCGACAAGAUCAUUGCUGAGGCGGACACGUUAACUGGAGAAGAAGAACAUGCAAAUAAGAAAUGUUUCAAGGGGCUCUGUCCUAAUCUUAAGAAACGCUAUCAACUUAGCGAGAAAGCAGCCACAAAGGAGAAGAGCAUCGCUGAGCUCAAGGAAGAAGCUGAGAAAUUUGCUCAAAUUUCCUACCGUACUGUUGCAGAGGAGCCUUGGCUUAGGUCUGGCAAAGGUUGCGAGGCCUUUGCAUCAAGAACGUCGACUUUGAAGGAUGUGCAAAACGCAUUACUUGAUCCUGAUAUCAGCUUCAUUGGGGUGUAUGGGAUGGGGGGCGUUGGGAAGACGACCCUAGUGAAGGAAGUGGCUAGGCGAGCCAAAAAAGACAAGCUAUUUGACGAGGUAGUUUUUGCAGAAGUAUCUGAGGCUCCAGAUAUCGGAAAGGUUCAACGGGAACUUGCGGAUCAGCUAGGUGUGAAAUUUGAUGAGGAGAGUGAUGUACCUGGAAGAGCUAGGAAGCUUUAUGCACGGUUGCAGAACGAGAACAAGAUCCUCGUAAUUUUAGACAACAUUUGGGAAGAUCUUGAUCCGGAAAAAGUAGGAGUUCCUUCUGGAAAUGAUUGUAGGGGAUGUAAAGUCUUGCUGACAGCAAGAGAUCGUCAUGUGUUGGAGUGUAUUGGGUCCAAGACUAUAGGGAUUGAUGUUUUAAAUAACGAAGAAGCGUGGACUCUAUUCAAGAAGUUGGUGGGUGACUGUGCUGAAAAAGGCACAUUAAAAUCUAUAGCGACUGAUGUGGCUAAAGAAUGUGGAGGUUUGCCUAUUGCCAUCGUUACGCUGGCAAAAGCAUUAAGAAACAAGAGUAGUGUCUCUACGUGGAAAGAUGUCCUGAGGCAAUUGAAAAGGCCUUCCCAUCGGAACUUUGAAGGAGUGCUAGCGAAGACAUAUUCAGCUAUAGAAUUGAGUUACAAGUAUUUAAGAGACGAGGAGCUCAAGAAACUAUUUUUGCAGUGUAGUCUAAUGCGAUCCCCACAGGCUUCCAUGCUGGACUUGUUGAAAUAUGCAAUAGGUUUGGGUAUAUUGAAAGGCGUCAGUACAAUGGAAGAAGCACGAGAUAAAGUAAAUGCGUUGGUCGAUCAACUCAAAGAUGCUUGUUUGUUGCUUGACGGCACUAACAGCGAUUGGUUUUCUAUGCAUGACGUUGUUCGUGUUGUUGCCAUAGCAGUUGCAUCUAGAGACAGUCAUGUAUUUACAAUGAGAAACGAAGUUGAUACGAGGCAAUGGCCAGAUAAGCAUUUGCUAAAGAAGUGCUCAAGAAUAUCAUUAUACGACAAUAAUAUUAGUGAAAUUCCUCAAGGGUGGGAAUGCCCUCAGCUUGAGUUUUUCUGGAUUUCUGCCUCCGAAGAUUCUCCUCUCAAAAUCCCCGACAACAUUUUCAUCGGGAUGCCGAAGCUCAAAGUUUUAGAUUUUACUAGAAUGAGGUUACUGUCACUACCGUCGUCGAUUCAUCUCCUAACAGACCUUCGAACAUUGUGUCUGGAUGGUUGCCAAUUGGAAGACAUUAGAGUUAUUGGAGAGCUGAGGAAGCUAGAAAUUCUUAGCUUGCAGGCUUCUGUAAUUGAGCAAUUGCCUAUGGAGAUAGGCCAAUUGACUCAGCUAAAGUUGUUAGAUUUGAGCGAUUGUUACAAAUUAAAAGUGAUUGCACCAAAUGUUCUAUCAAACUUAUCUCAACUGGAAGAAUUGUACAUGGCUAAUUGUUGUAUUGAAUGGGAGGUUCCAGGACUCAGCAAUGAGAGAAGUAAUGCUAGCCUCGAUGAAUUGAAGAAUUUAUCUCGUUUAACCACUUUAGAGAUACGUAUUCUUGAUGCAGGGAUUCUACCGAGUGGCUUGUUCUCAAGAAAGCUGGAGAGGUAUGAAAUUUGCGUGGGGCAAGAUUUGUACUGGUAUGAUAUCUAUAAGACUCGGAGAACUUUGAAACUCAAGCUCAACUCUCGCAUUUGCUUGGGGGAGUGGCGAGGCAUGAAGAACGUGGAAUACUUAUGUUUAGACGAAUUGCCGGGUUUGACGAAUGUUCUUCAUGAUUUGGACGGGGAGGGUUUUGCAGAGCUGAAACAUCUGAAUGUCCAAAAUAAUUCGAAUUUUCUAUGUAUAGUUGAUCCGCUACAAGUACGUUGCGGUGCCUUCCCGAUGUUAGAGUCCGUGGUUCUUCAGAGUUUGAUUAAUUUGGAGAGAAUAUGUCAUGGUCAGCUCCGAGCAGAAUCUUUCUGCAAUUUGAAAACAAUAAAAGUGGGACGUUGUCAUAAAUUGAAAAAUUUGUUCUCAUUCUCCAUUGCCAAAUUCCUUCCCCAACUUGAAAGAAUUAAAGUGAUUCAGUGCAAAAAUGUAGAAGAGAUAUUUGUUUCUAGCAAUGACGAGGUGAUCGGUGAGAUUGCAUUGGCGCAAGUACGGUUCCUGAUUCUUAGAACUCUUCCACUGUUCACAAGCUUCUCCACAUUUGUCAGGACAACUUCUAAUGUGGAAGUAGAGCACAAUGAAAUCAUUUUGGAGAACGAGAACCACCUUUAUACUCCCUUGUCACUGUUUAAUGAAAAGGUAGGUGAACAAAACUUAUUCUCUUAUUUUAUUAAUGCUACUGCUAUCACAAGAACUCGUAUUGACAUAAGAACUCUGUGUGCAGAUCGUGCUUCCUAAAUUGGAGGUCUUGGAACUGCGGGAUAUUAAUGUUGCAAAGAUAUGGCACAAUCAACUUUCAGCAGCAAUCUCUUGUAGCGUUCAAAAUUUAACACGCUUGAUUUUGGUGGACUGCCGCAAAUUAAAAUACGUGUUUUCAUAUUCUAUAGCUAAAAGACUUGGGCAGCUUCAACACCUUGAGAUAUGCAGGUGCCCACAUUUGGAGGAAGUUGUUGGCAAGGAAAGUGGAGUGGAAGCGGAUCCUUCUUUUGUCUUUCCACGCUUAACAAUCCUGAAAUUUCGCUACCUACCAGCACUUAGAGCUUUCUAUCCUGGAGUACACACUCUGGAAUGUCCCGUGUUAACUAAGUUGGAAGUGUAUAUUUGUGACAAACUAGAAAGUUUCACUUCAGAAUUGUAUAGCCUCCACGAAAAUAAUGAGGAGGGCCAACUUAUUGAUGUGCCAGUGCCAGCGCCACGGCCCCUGUUCUUGGUUGAAAAGGUACGUGUCUCUUUUCUAUAAUAUAUGCUUUGUUUGUUUCAACAUUUAUUUUAUUUUAGUGACAACAAUCCAUAAUUAUAUUCUUCUUUGGAAUUUUUUGAGUGAACAUCAACUCCAACUUGUUUAUGUUUGAUUGGUCAUCAGGUCCUACCCAAUUUGGAGGAAUUGAGAUUAAGCAAGAACAAGGAUAUCGCAAAGAUAUGGCAGGGUCCGUUUACAGACCAUCUUUUAAACAAACUCGAAGUUCUGGCGAUUGAGAAUGAUGAAUCGGAAGUUUUAUCACCUGACUUACUCGAGAGAUUUCACAAUCUGGUCAAUCUCCAACUAGAACGUAGUUCUUACAAAGAGUUAUUCUCAAAUGAAGGGCAGGUUGAGAAACAUGUCGGAAAGCUCGCCCAGAUAAAACAUUUAAAGCUGAGGCGACUAAAUGAUCUAAAGCACCUGUGGCUGUGGGAACAAAACUCCAAAUUGAACACGGUUUUUCAAAAUCUUGAAACUCUAUCUGCACACUUUUGUCUUAAUCUGACAAAUCUAAUGCCUUCCUCUGCCUCUUUUCGGUGUCUGAAAGAACUGAGGGUAUGCGCUUGCGAGCAUCUGAUAAACUUGGUAGCAUCCUCGGCAGCAAAAAAUCUAGUGCAACUCGUACUUGUGUCGGUAAGUGAAUGCAGUAAAAUUACCGAGUUGGUGGUAGCAAGUGAGGGAGAUGCAGCAAACGACGAGAUUAUCUUCCCCAAAAUGAUGUUCUUGGAGCUUCAUCGUCUACAAAGUCUCACAACCUUCUGCUCUGCAAACUACACUUUUAAAUUCUUGUCUUUAUGGCGGUUAUCAGUGUCUGCUUGCCCCAAGAUGAAGAUUUUCUGCGGAGGAGUCUUUAGCGCACCAAGAUUAAAA